GCUCUCAUGAGCUUCUCAAACCCCCCAAAACCAGAAGAGACAAGCAGAGAUCGUUUCUUUACAAGGUUCUAAUCUCUCACAAACCCCAUUUUCUGAGUCAAACCAAAACCCAACCCUAAUCCUUGCUUAAUCUCUAAGUUUUUAACUACAUUCUCAGUUUUUCUCCAUUGAGUUUACUCAAACUACCUUUUUUUUACAGCCAACUGAAAAAAAAUAAUCAAAGUUCUGAUGAUUUUUCAUAAUAGUUCUUUCAAACCCAUGGUCAAAAAUUUGAUGUAUAUUCAGAAUCUUAUCCAAAGAUCAAAAUCUUGCAUUUCUAAUUCUCAUUUGUUUUCCCUAAAUCCUAUUUUUUAUAGAACCGUUAAACUGUUUGAUGAAAUUCCUCAGAGAAGUUGUAGCUUACUGAAUUCGAAACAUAGUUUCUCUCAUGAAAGAUUUGUGGAAUUAGAAACUUGUGGACAAGUUUUUCAUGAUUUUUUUUCUUGGAAUAAUGGUAUUUCUAGCUUUGUUAAGAAUAAGCAACCUGAACAAGCUGUUGGUGUGUUUAAAUCAAUGCUGCUUUUACAUGAUCAGAGACCGAAUUAUGUGACGCUUUUAAGUGUGAUACGUGCCGUGGGUUCUUUGAAUCGGGAAGAAAUGACUGGGGUUGUUCAUGCAUUUGCUUUUAAACUUGGGGUUGGAUCAGAAGUUUCGAUUGUUACUGCUCUUCUUGGGCUGUAUUCUCUACAUAAUGAUAUGAUGAUGGUUUGGCAAAGUUUUUAUGGUGCAGAAGUCAAGGAUUUAGUUCUUUGGAGUGCAUUGGUUAAUGCUUGUAUGAAAAAUGGUAAGUUUGGUGAUGCCCUUAAUAUUUUUAGAGAUAUGCAAGUUUCGGGUUUCGAACCAAAUUAUGUAAGUAUUUUGAGUAUUUUGCCUGCUUGUGCUGAUCUUGGUGUAUUAUCGCUUGGAAAGCAAAUUCAUGGGUUUUGUAUAGUAAGGGGAUUGUAUACAGUUACUAAUAUCCAGAAUUCGUUAAUGGACAUGUAUGCAAAAUGUGGGGUUGUUGAAUGUUCAAUUCUAAUUUUUGAUAGAUUAUGGGGUAAGGAUUUAAUCUCAUGGAAUACUAUGAUCUGUGGGUGUGUGGAAAAUGGGUAUCCAAAAGAAGCAUUGAUUUUUUUCGAUAAAAUGUUGAAAUCUGGUUUUCAACCAGAUCAAACAACUAUAAGGAAUGCCAUAACGGCUUGUUCACAGGCAGAAGAAGUUAAAUUUGGAUAUGGAUUGCAUUGCUAUUCAAUAAAAUCCAGGCUAGAAGAUUUGGUUUCUGUUGGAACUGCACUAUUCAAAAUGUAUGCAGAUUUUGGUGACAUUGUAUCCUCGAGAAUUGUAUUUGAUUGUCUUCCUCGGAAGGAUAUGAUUGCAUGGAGUGCGAUGAUUUCAGUCUAUGCUCAAACUGGGCAUUCAUUUUUAGCAUUUGAAUUGUUCAAUCAAAUGCAAUCAGCAAAUGAAGAGCCAAAUGAGGUAACGUUGGUAAGUUUGUUACAAGCUUGUUCUUCGAUGAAAUCUCAAGAAUUUGGGAAGAUCAUUCAUGGUAAUGUUACGAGAAAUGGGUACUCAUCAAAUGUGUUCAUAACUUCGGCUUUGAUUGAUUUAUACUGUAAAUUUGGGCAGUUAGCUCAAGGAGAAGUGCUGUUCAAUUAUCUUCCUUACAAAGAUAUAAUUUGUUGGAGUUCAAUGAUUAAUGGGUAUGGGAUUAAUGGGUUUGGUGAUAAGGCUCUUGAAACUUUCUCUAAGAUGUUAGAUACUGGGUUAAAGCCGAACGGAGUUGUCUUCACUUCUGUUCUAUCUGCAUGUAGUCACUGUGGAUUAGAAGAUGAAGGAUGGAAGUGGUUUAAUUAUAUGAAAGAACACUUCGGUAUAAUCCCUGGUCUUUCUCAUUAUUCUUGUAUGGUGGAUUUGCUUAGUCGCGCAGGGAAAAUUGAAGAAGCAUUCAGGUUCAUAAAUGAGAUGCCAUUACAGCCAGAUGCAACUAUUUGGGGAGCUUUACUUGCUGGUUGCAAAACAGUUAAAGGAUAUGUCGAAAUUGCAGAGUUUGCAGCGGAACGACUUUUAACGUUGGAUCCAGAAAAUACAAGCUAUUAUGUGAUUUUAUCGAAUAUUUAUGCUGAUGUGGGCCACUGGAAAGAUGCUGAGAGACUCAGAAGAGUUCUGACAGAGAAGAAAUUGAGAAAGACGGUUGGAUUUAGCAUGAUUGGAAGUUGAAGGCAUAUAGCAGGCCUAUCUUUAGAAAUGAAUAAGGAAGGAGUCCUUGAAAUUCUUCUUGUCAGUGCACAGGACAUUCGAAACCCGAACUUUAUAGGAAAACCAUGCUAUUAUGUGAUUGCUCAUUGUGGUAAGCAGGAGGUCAG